rnacentral:misc_RNA from 1 species
GGAACCGGUGCUAUAUAUUAAUGGACGCCCGUUUGUCUUGCGUGAAGUAGAAAGGCCCUUCUCAAAUCUCGAAUAUACGGGAAUUAACAGGACAAGAGUGGAGGAAAUGGAGGAUCGUUUGAAAGAUGAUGUUCUGCAAGAAGCUGCAAGAUACGGAAAUAAGAUCCUUGUAACUGACGAGCUUCCUGAUGGUCAGAUGGUGGAUCAAUGGGAACCAGUAACAUAUGAUUCUGUGAAAACACCCUUACAGGUGUACGAGGAGCUGCAAACAAAAGAGUACCUGGUUGAAUACGAACGUGUUCCUAUUACCGACGAAAAAUCAC